UAGUAAGGAUCAUCGGCUAACAUCCGUCACGUCCUGUGACAACGUCGGCACUAGCACGUCCUGUGCG
rnacentral:sRNA from 1 species